AUGGCACUACUCUCUAACGCAACCCAAAUUACAACAACCUUCAAUCCCCUCAAAACCAAUCUUCCAAAACCCUCACACCCUUUUCUUUAUUCCCAAGUUUCCUUCCUUUCUCACUCUCACACGACCUCCAUAUUACUCACCGCCACCGCCAACAUGUUCCCAGUUCCUUCCGGCGACUUCAAACUCUCUAACAUGACAGCUUUAUCCCCAUUAGACGGUCGUUAUUGGGAAAAGUUUAAAGACUUGGCUGGUAUCAUGGGUGAAUAUGGACUCAAUACUAUAGGGUCAUUGUUGAGAUUAAAUGACUCCUGA